rnacentral:rRNA from 1 species
UACGUAGGGUGCGAGCGUUGUCCGGAAUUAUUGGGCGUAAAGAGCUCGUAGGCGGUGUGUCGCGUCGGCCGUGAAAACCUGGGGCUCAACUCUGGGCGUGCGGUCGAUACGGGCAUCACUGGAGUUCGGCAGGGGAGACUGGAAUUCCUGGUGUAGUGGUGAAAUGCGCAGAUAUCAGGAGGAACACCGGUGGCGAAGGCGGGUCUCUGGGCCGAUACUGACGCUGAGGAGCGAAAGCAUGGGUAGCGAACAGG